rnacentral:rRNA from 1 species
AAGUAUAGAUUGCUAUACGACCUAGCGGCGGACGGGUGAGUAAUGCUUAGGAAUCUGCCUAUUAGUGGGGGACAACAUUCCGAAAGGAAUGCUAAUACCGCAUACGCCCUACGGGGGAAAGCAGGGGAUCUUCGGACCUUGCGCUAAUAGAUGAGCCUAAGUCAGAUUAGCUAGUUGGUGGGGUAAAGGCCUACCAAGGCGACGAUCUGUAGCGGGUCUGAGAGGAUGAUCCGCCACACUGGGACUGAGACACGGCCCAGACUCCUACGGGAGGCAGCAGUGGGGAAUAUUGGACAAUGGGCGCAAGCCUGAUCCAGCCAUGCCGCGUGUGUGAAGAAGGCCUUUUGGUUGUAAAGCACUUUAAGCGAGGAGGAGGCUACUUGGAUUAAUACUCUAGGAUAGUGGACGUUACUCGCAGAAUAAGCACCGGCUAACUCUGUGCCAGCAGCCGAGGUAAUACAGAGGGUGCGAGCGUUAAUCGGAUUUACUGGGCGUAAAGCGUGCGUAGGCGGCUUUUUAAGUCGGAUGUGAAAUCCCUGAGCUUAACUUAGGAAUUGCAUUCGAUACUGGGAAGCUAGAGUAUGGGAGAGGAUGGUAGAAUUCCAGGUGUAGCGGUGAAAUGCGUAGAGAUCUGGAGGAAUACCGAUGGCGAAGGCAGCCAUCUGGCCUAAUACUGACGCUGAGGUACGAAAGCAUGGGGAGCAAACAGGAUUAGAUACCCUGGUAGUCCAUGCCGUAAACGAUGUCUACUAGCCGUUGGGGCCUUUGAGGCUUUAGUGGCGCAGCUAACGCGAUAAGUAGACCGCCUGGGGAGUACGGUCGCAAGACUAAAACUCAAAUGAAUUGACGGG